GACGAACGCUGGCGGCGUGCUUAACACAUGCAAGUCGAACGGAAAGGCCCCUUUGGGGGUACUCGAGUGGCGAACGGGUGAGUAACACGUGCGUAACCUGCCCUUGACUUCGGGAUAACUUUAGGAACCUGGGGCUAAUACCGGAUCGGGAUAAUAGCUUCAUGGUGGUGGUUGAAAAGCUUCGGGGGGUUUGGAUGGACUCGCGGCUUAUCAGCUUGUUGGAGGGGUAGUGGCUUACCAAGGCUGUGAAGGGUAGCCGGCCUGAGUGGGCGACCGGCGACACUGGGACUGAGAGGAGGCCCAGACACCGACGGGAGGGAGCAGUGGGGAAGAUUGCACAAGGGGCGGAGGGCGGAUGCAGCAACGCCGCGGGCGGGAUGACGGUCUUCGGGUUGUAAAACGCAUUCAGCAGGAGCGAAGCUUGUGGUGACGGUACCUGCAGAAGAAGCACCGGCUAACUACGUG
rnacentral:rRNA from 1 species